ensembl:lncRNA
UGAAGACUUUGCCUUUGUUAAAGAAAAACGUGAUGAUGGCAAUUUGUUAUGUGAUGUAAUUUCCCAAAAAAACAUGGAAAGCUUUUUACUGUGCCUUGUGACUCCAAGCUUAUUAACGUUGUAUAUAUUAGAAACUUGGAGAGAGUCCAGAAACAUCGCAGGCUUUUUGAUGUUGAUUAAAUUCACCGUAAAUUGGCUUGUCUACCCUUCAAAACAGGAUAUGUACUAAUGCCUUUAUUGCACAGCAUGGAGCGAAAAGACUAAAAAAGGGAUGGCUUGGGUAAGGGCAGUGUGGCAAGAGAAGACAAGGCAAGAGGAAGGGACGGUGCCGGACAGCUGGGUGGACCCAAAGAGCAUGUUAUUGUACUGGCCAAAUGUUGCAAAUGCAACAAGAUAUUUGAAGGAACGACGGCCACCAUCUGAUAGUUGGAGAAAGUUUCCACUUGUGAAAGAGAAGAUGAGAUCUGAUUACUUUAAAGAGUGUGACAACUGUGAACUCACAAGUAGUACAGAAGCUGAAGAAGGUUCACUGGAAGCAAAAAGAAGAAAAAUAUCGGAGAAAUUUGAAGACUGUUUGACAGAUCAUAGUUGUGACACUGAUCCACAAUUCGAAGAAGAAGAUAACCUUAAAAAUCGUCAGCUUCCUAACAGUAAUGAAGAGCUAGAACUUCCUGUUGCUCCAAGGAAGGUGUGCAAGCUCUCCAAUGCAAGCUCUACAUCUUCUGUUUCAUCCAGGGGAUCAAGCUCUGGCUCUCCAUUGCCACUUCAAAAAAAGCAGACUUCAACAGCACAGGGUUGGCAAUCCUCUUACUUCCAACCUCAGUCUAAUCUUAGACCAGAAAGGGUUCUUCAGGUCCUUAUUUAAGUCCUAAAUUCAAUUUCAGAAAUAUUUUGUCUGAAAGUGAUAGGUUCAUACCCAUAGUGAAAUAUUGU